rnacentral:rRNA from 1 species
UGGGGAAUAUUGCACAAUGGGCGCAAGCCUGAUGCAGCCAUGCCGCGUGUGUGAAGAAGGCCUUCGGGUUGUAAAGCACUUUCAGCGGGGAGGAAGGCGUUAAGGUUAAUAACCUUGGCGAUUGACGUUACCCGCAGAAGAAGCACCGGCUAACUCCGUGCCAGCAGCCGCGGUAAUACGGAGGGUGCAAGCGUUAAUCGGAAUUACUGGGCGUAAAGCGCACGCAGGCGGUCUGUCAAGUCGGAUGUGAAAUCCCCGGGCUCAACCUGGGAACUGCAUUCGAAACUGGCAGGCUAGAGUCUUGUAGAGGGGGGUAGAAUUCCAGGUGUAGCGGUGAAAUGCGUAGAGAUCUGGAGGAAUACCGGUGGCGAAGGCGGCCCCCUGGACAACGACUGACGCUCAGGUGCGAAAGCGUGGGGAGCAAACAGG